GGUGGCUUAGUGGUAGGGCACUUGCCUUGCAUGCAUGAGGCCCUGGGUUCGAUUCCCCAGCACCA
rfam:Dipodomys ordii contig_16773, whole genome shotgun sequence.